GCUAAACGCGAAGAACCUUACCAAGGUUUGACAUCACCCGGAUCGCUCCAGAGAUCGGGGUUUCCCUUCGGGGCUGGGUGACAGGUGGUGCAUGGCUGUCGUCAGCUCGUGUCGUGAGAUGUUGGGUUAAGUCCCGCAACGAGCGCAACCCUCGUUCCAUGUUGCCAGCAUGCCCGUUUGGGGUGGUGGGGGACUCAUGGGAGACUGCCGGGGUCAACUCGGAGGAAGGUGGGGAUGACGUCAAGUCAUCAUGCCCCUUAUGCCUUGGGCUGCAAACAUGCUACAAUGGCCGGUACAGAGGGCGGCGAUACCGUAAGGUGGAGCGAAUCCCGUAAAGCCGGUCUCAGUUCGGAUUGGAGUCUGCAACUCGACUCCAUGAAGUUGGAAUCGCUAGUAAUCGCAAAUCAGCAUGUUGCGGUGAAUACGUUCCCGGGUCUUGUACACACCG
rnacentral:rRNA from 1 species